UACGAGAAAUCCUCUGCUUGCAGGGGAGAGUAAAGAGGCGCACGGGUGAGUAUCGCGUGGGUAAUCUACCCUUGAAUUCAGGAUAACACUUCGAAAGGGGUGCUAAUACUGGAUAACAUCCUGAUGGUUUAGGCCAUAAGGAUCAAAGAUAGCCUCUACAUGUAAGCUAUUGUUCAGGGAUGAGCCCGCGUACCAUUAGCUAGUUGGUGGGGUAAGAGCCUACCAAGGCAACGAUGGUUAGCUGGUCUGAGAGGAUGAUCAGCCACACUGGAACUGAAACACGGUCCAGACUCCUACGGGAGGCAGCAGUGAGGAAUUUUGCGCAAUGGGGGGAACCCUGACGCAGCAACGCCGCGUGAGUGAAGAAGGCUUUCGGGUCGUAAAGCUCUGUCAAGAGGGAAGAAAGUGGAAGGUGGUAAUACUGUUUUCUAUUGACGGUACCUCUGAAGGAAGCACCGGCUAACUCCGUGCCAGCAGCCGCGGUAAUACGGGGGGUGCAAGCGUUAUUCGGAUUUAUUGGGCGUAAAGAGCGCGUAGGCGGUUUAUCAAGUCAGAUGUGAAAGCCCUGGGCUCAACCUGGGAAGUGCAUUUGAAACUAGUAGACUUGAGUAUGGGAGAGGGGAGUGGAAUUCCUGGUGUAGAGGUGAAAUUCGUAGAUAUCAGGAGGAACACCGGUGGCGAAGGCGACUUCCUGGACCAAUACUGACGCUGAGGCGCGAAGGCGUGGGGAGCAAACAGGAUUAGAUACCCUGGUAGUCCACGCAGUAAACGGUGAUCACUAGGUGUAGCGGGUAUUGACCCCUGCUGUGCCGCAGUUAACGCAUUAAGUGAUCCGCCUGGGGAGUACGAUCGCAAGGUUAAAACUCAAAGGAAUUGACGG
rnacentral:rRNA from 1 species